CCGGUCUGAACUCAGAUCACGUAAGAAUUUAAAAGUCGAACAGACUUAAAAUUUAAGCUGCUACACCUAAACCUAUCUCUUAAUCCAACAUCGAGGUCGCAAUCCCUUUUAUCAAUAAGAACUCUCCAAAAAAAUUACGCUGUUAUCCCUAAAGUAACUUAAUUUUAUAAUCGUUAUUAACGGAUCAAACAACCAUAAAUAAAUGUCACCAAAAAUUAAAAGUUCAUUAAAUUUUAAUAUCACCCCAAUAAAAUAAUAUCAAUUACUAUAGCACAAAAUAUCUAAAUAACCAUAACAAACUAAUUAUAAAGAUUUAUAGGGUCUUCUCGUCUUUAAAACCCAUUUCAGCUUUUUUACUGAAAAAUGAAAUUCUAAUUCAAAUUCAAAUGAAACAGUUAGUAUCUCGUCCAACCAUUCAUUCCAGCCUUCAAUUAAAAGACUAAUGAUUAUGCUACCUUUGCACAGUUAAAAUACUGCGGCCAUUCAACUUUCAGUGGGCAGGUUAGACCUUAUAUUUAUAAUCAAAAGGACAUGUUUUUGUUAAACAGGCG
rnacentral:rRNA from 1 species